AUUGCUUCUCGGCCUUUUGGCUAAGAUCAAGUGUAGCAUCUGUUCUUAUCAGUUUAAUAUUUGAUACGUCCUCCAUCCGGGGGACAAUAUAGUAAAUGGAUUUUGGGAGCAGGGAGAUGGAAUAGGAGCUUGCUCUGUCCACUCCACCUGGUAUUGCAGUACCUCCAGGAACAGUGUACCCCCC
ensembl:snRNA U2 U2 spliceosomal RNA